CACGUAGGAAGCGAGCGUUAUCCGGAUUUACUGGGCGUAAAGCGUGUGCAGGCGGUCUUGUAAGUUGGAUGUGAAAGCUCCUGGCUUAACUGGGAGAGGUCGUUCAGAACUGCGAGACUAGAGAGCGAAAGAGGGAAGCAGAAUUCCGAGUGUAGUGGUGAAAUGCGUAGAUAUUCGGAGGAAUACCAGAGGCGAAGGCGGCUUCCUGGUUCGCAACUGACGCUGAGACACGAAAGCUAGGGUAGCAAACGGGAUUAGAGACCCCGGUAGUCCUAGCAGUAAACGAUGUAGACUAGACGUUGGUGAUGUAAAAGUCAUCAGUGUCGGAGCAAACGCGAUAAGUCUACCGCCUGGGGACUACGGCCGCAAGGCUAAA
rnacentral:rRNA from 1 species